GUUGGGAGUAUUAUUUAUUCAAAUAAACAAAAAUGUUUUAUUUCCCUUUCAAUGGUAUAUAUCUUAAAUUGCUGGAACAUACAAGUAUAAAAAUAAGAUUAUUUUAGAAAACUCCAGUUUUGAAGGGCACGACAAUAGUUCAGACAUUUGUCAGUAGCUAUGAAGCCACUUUUAACAUGGAAUGAAUAUCCCUUUACUCCAACUCUUGGUCUUAUUACAUUUUUAAAUCAAAUCAGCGUGCUGGAAAUAGAGAAAAAUUCCCAAAGGGAAAUAUAAAAUAAUUUUAAGCAUUUUCAGAAAUACAAGUUACACUUAAGAAACUUGUAUUAAAGGAUGUUAAUCUGAGAUAAACAGAAAACAAACGUUUUGCAAAGCACUACUUUUUGCAUCUGUUUGAGGAUACACAGUUUGCAGCUCUCCUGCCAGAAGCAAAAUACUGACUCUAGCACAGCAGAAAAGGCAUCAACUUUAAGAAAAAAAUGAGUGGUCGCUUUCAAUGACUGAACAUAACAUAUUAAACUUUAAGAAUUUUUAACAAUGCAAAUUAACAGCAAUAGUAGAAAAUACAUCAUUUUAGAUUACAAAAAUUCAGCUUUUAUUAGCACAUGACAAAUCUCAUUCAUUCGCUGCCCUCUCAUAUGUGCUGAGUAACUGCUACACAGAAUUUCAAACCUCACUGAUAUAAAUGUGAGAGAUGACAUCUACAAUGAGAAAAAUGAGGGAAAAAAAUCUCGUUUUAUACCACUAGCAACAAAGAACACAAAAUUGUAUUAAAUUUGUUAAGAAAUGUUAUUUUGUGCAAUUUUCAUGAUAGAUUAAUUAGCUUUGUUCACUUUUUUUCCUCCAUCUUAAAAAGAGAUAAUCUUUUAAUGUUUUCUUAACAUUUCAUUCAGGAACACUAAUCUUAGAAAUGCGAGGCUUGUGUAAAAUUUUACUUUAAUAGGCACACGUGUGUUCUACACAGUUUGGACUUUAUCUGGUUGGUCUUACACAAACAAUUAUCCAUCUGUAAAGGGAACUGCUCACUUCUCAGGGCUGCCCUGAUUCCCAGAGGAGAGACAGAUAUUUUACCAUCACAGCGUUCCCCAAGAUGCUGGCAGAGACACCAGGAUGGCUGCUCUCACAAUAGUGUCCAAGAAGUACCCGAGGCUCAACGGGGCACCCAAGCAUCAGGGACCAGGUACCCGCACGUCGCUCUUGCCGUGGCUGGAUUCAAAUUUAUCAGGAAGCUUUGUGAUGUCUCUUGGCCCAGUCACUACCCACGGUGUGCUUUUUAAGCACACAAGUGUGAUGUAAAAGUUACACAGUACAAUUUAGUUUAGAAGCACUGGACAUCUGUGUGUAAUAGCUGCUGAUAAGAAACCCAGAGGAAGCUCAGGGCAGGGAAGAAAAUACUGGAUUUAUUGCUGGGAGUUACGUAUCCCCAACAGCUGUGAUAGAUUCCAGCCACUGAUGCAACCUGAGGUUCGCUGGCAGCACUAAGCAGCGUGGCUAUGUUCUGCCUUCCACAUUCCGCAGAUGUGGCUAACAGGGUGACACCAAGAGCCCAGGGAGCCUGCUCACGUCUGAAAGCCGUGGUUUCUGCUCUGCAGCCUCACCUGGGGAGCUUACUGAAAUGCAGAUUCCCUGUUCCCUCCUGCACUGACCCUGAAUGGGGCUGGGUGUGCUCCAGGACAAGAUGGACCUUCCGGGGACGUGGAGCCUGGGGAGCAGGGCUCCCACGCUGACAGCAGUGAGACAGGAGGGAGCUCCUUUCCUGGAAGUCUCUGACAGAAGACAUUCUGGAGAAAGAAGCUGUCGGAUGUUCGGAAUGCAUGGGCUGGGCUGGCUCAGCAGAGCUGGCGGAAACGGUGAGGGCCCAGCUGCCGUGCCCCUCAACGACACUGUCAGGUAACUGCUGCCAGGAGCCUUCCAGAUGCUCAGACCCCAGAAGCCACUUUACCGGCCCCCUUUGGCCUCAGUUGCUUGACCCUCCCCUACAAAUUUCCAGGUGCAUGACCUUGAACCUGCCUGUGUCCUGGGUGGGACCUCUCUUCUGGCUCCUUCUUGCCCUGCCCUCUUUUCAGAUUCUGGAACUUCCCAGGUCCCAGCCAUCCUGUACUCUCCAUCCGUUGAAUGAACCAAUCCUUGCUCCGCGUGGGCAACACCCGGGCCACCCAGCCACAGUCUCUCUUUGUCAAAGCUGUCACUUACACAUGACUCCCGCUUGAAUAUUCCUGAAGUUUGGAAUUGGUGGAUCUGCAAAAUAAAUCACAUCUCCAAUGGAUUCAGCCACUUUAAGGGGAAAAGAAAUCUAAGGAUGGCUGGAAUGAAACUGCAUUUUCUUUCCUUUUUUGAGACGGAGUCUUGCUCUGUUGCCCAGGCUGGAGUGCAGUGGCGCAAUCUUGGCUCACUACAACCUCUGCCUCCCCGGUUCAAGCGAUUCUCCUGCCUCAGCCUCCAGAGUAGCUGGGAUUACAGACAGGCAUCACCAUCGUUGGCUAAUUUUUUGUAUUUUUAGUAGAGACGGGGUUUCACCAUGUUGUCCAGGCUGGUCUCAAACUCCUGACCUCAGGUGAUCCACCUGCCUCGGCCUCCCAAAGUGCUGGGAUUACAGGCACGAGCUACCGUGCCUGGCCUAAACUGCAUUUUCUAAAAAAAUAUGUACUGCUUAUUUUGUUAGCAUACUUUUAAUUAUAUUCUUAUUCUUUCUACCCCUCUCAAAAUGUAUUUUUCCAGCUUGCCAUUUAAUUGGUAAACAGCUGUAAAGUUCAAACGUGAAAUUCUUAAAGCUCCCUAGAGACAUACACAAUAACUUCUGUGGCAUGGACUUUUCUCGGCAUUAAAAAAAUCUAGUACCUCUCUUGGCCAGAACCCCUAAUUUUACACUUUAUGGUGUUGCGUCGUUUUUCAAAAAAAACAAAACAACAACCAAAAAACUUACUGGCAAGUUUUUCCUCCAAACAGUUUUCUAAUCAAGUCUAAUAAGUUUGUGCAAGAGAAAACACAUGGGGAUUCCACUCCAUUAUUUGAUUUCCACUAAUCAGGAUAAAGUCUGUGAAAUUCAAUUACUGUUGUUUGUGGAACAGACUGUUGAACAACGAUUUAUUCCCAAUGAUAUCGAGUGGCACUAGUCCAGAACUUAGAACUGAACCACACGUGGCAGCUCCACCAAGCAGGGACAGGGAAAGAGGAAUUUAACAAGUUUGCACCCGGCGUAUUAAAUAAUUAAAUCCCUCUUCACCUCUUAAAUGAAAUGAUGGAAUCCCCAACUCACAAUUGCUUUUCAAAAUCUAUUACCCAAAGCACUGCGGAGUCACUAAUGCUGUCUUCCUGGGAACUACUUUCACAAUUUUGAACAGUAACUGACCCCAAAUUUAUCUCCAACCAAAACCUCUGUGUUUCACCAUGAAUCAGGCAAGGUCCUUCCAAGUGUUCAGAAGUGGAACCUGUUGUGGAAAAACACUCCCCUCGGUCACACACAGGGCAUCUGUUUCUUGAGUGCUAAGUACUUGGUUUUGGUUCAGGAGAAAUACAAAAUAGUGUACAGUAUAUGCUGGGAGAUCGGACACCAAUCACUUGUGGCUCUUUCAAAUUCCCAAGAAUAAAAAUAGAAUUGGUCCCCAUCUUGUUUCUUGCUAUUUUUAAUAAAUGGUUUCAGUUACUGAAGGCAGGAUUUAUUUCAGACUUCCAAAGAAGUUAUCAAGGAAAUAAAGCAGCAUCUAUUCAUUUCCCAUCAGACUUGACAAGGUUUCUGAUAACAACCUAAUGCUAAGUUGCACCUUUUCAGGCAAGGACCGUCUUCCAGAAUUUUCCACAGUGUAUUACAAGGUAAAAAUGACACCCUCAAAGGGUUGUUAAUUCCUUUCCUGUUCCAAGCAAACCUCCUUGAAAGCUUGCCAAGCUAAGCAUCAAUUUGCAUAACUGGAGGAGGUGGGUGUCACUAACAGGGUUUUGACUGGAAGUCCGAUUCUCAGCAGCAAGACAUGCCAGAAAAAUGUCCCACAUUCAAUUGUCUAUCUCAUUCUUGUUGCGAAGUUAUGCUUUUGUAGUUUCAGUAUUUUCAUCAAAAUGUCACAUCCAAUGACAUGCGAUAUGAAAAGAUAAAGAAAUCUGAUAUGAAAUACAGAGCAUGACGGCAAACUUCAUUCACCUACUCUACCUGGAAACCUCACUUGUUACUUUCCUGUAUUUUAAGAACUAUGCCUGUUCAUCUGCUGCAGGAGGAAGCUCCCCGCCUCUGAAACCUAACACAAUACAACGGAACAGAAGAUGCCUGUAUGAAGAAAUAAGCAGGAAAACUAAUCAGGGCAUGUCUGCGAUUCCCUCCUCUUAUUUCAGGGCUUUGAAUUUUUCACAGCAAGGGUGAAGGCACAAUCUAGGGGUGUUGGCUUCACUCCUGUGCAAAGCGGCCCACAAAACAGCAACCACGGAAAAAGCCAAUGGGAUGAGAAUUGGACUUCCAGACAUCUCUCCGUGUGAAAUGCAUUCUGAGAUUAUGAGUUUUCAACAAGCUGAGAGCGGAUGUGACAACGGGCCCUGAUACAAGAGCCCCCUCCUCCCGUUCCGUGCCGUCAUGUUCUUUCCAAGAGGCUGCAACUCAAAUCUUCUCUAGUGAAAACAGCACAGAAGGUUCUUCUGGCUGCUGGAGAGUCUUCCAGGACACCAUGACAAGCCGACGUGGCCUCCACGUCUCUUUGGCAGAGUCCUAUAUUUCUCAGUAUGGUGGUGACCCGGGGACCCAGGGAGCAGAGCAGAUGGCUGAAACAUCCACACGUAGCCUACUGUGAAUACAAACGAUACUUCUGCAGGAGGGGACACUUAGCACUUUUGGUGGAAUUCUGUAAUAUAGCCAACCCACCCCAAAAAAAUGCAAAGGGAACACUGAACUUGGCACACAAGCAGGAGAGAGGGGAUACUGUCUUUUAACUCUUCUCCUAAUGACAUCAGGUCAUAUAAGGCUAUGUCAAGGAAACGGCUUCCACUUUUCUUUGGCAAAGGCCUCGAUAAGUGACAGAAAGUAGGGACUGCCCCCCGAAAUAAGGCUACCACUGCACAACUGUUACCAAAGAUUAAACACCCCCAAAGGAAGAAGCACAGAGGUCAACUGCUGAACAAUUUAAGCUGAUUGGAUGGGUAUGCUUGAGGCUAACCAGUUCUGCAAAGGGAAACACACGGUUUCGAAGCACGGGGAUAAGUAGACGUUACCUUGUGUCUUCUGCACAUCUUGCAUCUUCCUUCCCUGACAGCUGGUCAGAAAUAGGGGCAUCAGGCCAUUUCCCUGUUUCCCAACAGGGUAAUAGCCAACCUACUUCCAGAGAAGAUUUGGAAAAAGAGACAACUAAGCUAGUGAAAUAGAAUAGUUUUUUCUCAUCAAAACAUGAUUUAUUAAUUUUAAGCAAGAGUAAGCAUAUGUGAUAGUGGCCAGCUUGGGGAUAGAACUCU
rnacentral:lncRNA from 1 species